GAUUGAACGCUGGCGGCAUGCCUUACACAUGCAAGUCGAACGGCAGCACGGGUGCUUGCACCUGGUGGCGAGUGGCGAACGGGUGAGUAAUACAUCGGAACAUGUCCUGUAGUGGGGGAUAGCCCGGCGAAAGCCGGAUUAAUACCGCAUACGAUCUACGGAUGAAAGCGGGGGACCUUCGGGCCUCGCGCUAUAGGGUUGGCCGAUGGCUGAUUAGCUAGUUGGUGGGGUAAAGGCCUACCAAGGCGACGAUCAGUAGCUGGUCUGAGAGGACGACCAGCCACACUGGGACUGAGACACGGCCCAGACUCCUACGGGAGGCAGCAGUGGGGAAUUUUGGACAAUGGGCGAAAGCCUGAUCCAGCAAUGCCGCGUGUGUGAAGAAGGCCUUCGGGUUGUAAAGCACUUUUGUCCGGAAAGAAAUCCUUGGCCCUAAUACGGUCGGGGGAUGACGGUACCGGAAGAAUAAGCACCGGCUAACUACGUG
rnacentral:rRNA from 1 species